CCGACACUCACAAGCGCCGGCGGAAAGUUGCGCGCAGGAGACGCCCCUCCCGCCACAGCGCCGCCGCCAUCUUGUGGGAGCGGGACAGGCUUAUUUGCGCAGUUUCGAAUUUCAUCUCUUGAGGUAGACUAUAAAGCGAAACGAAAAGCACAAUUCUUCCCUCACUUCGCCCUAAAACACCUAACGGCACGACUCACGAUAAAAUCGUCAGGGUUAGCGAAUGUGGCUCGGAAGAUGUAUAAUGAUGGGAAGGCGGAUAAAGUCAGUUCCCGAGUCCCUCAGCGAGGGGAGACCUCUGCCUUAAACAGCGUUGGUAUUUGUGCGUAGAGGCGGCUCAGGUCUCUCCAGCAGCCCUAAGAAGUACGAGCGAAAAGCGCUCUGCGUGCCUUACUGAUGUGAAAGAGAAGUGAUACUCGAAACCACGCCUGGUGCUAGGGAGCCUGUUGCUAGGCCGGUACCGCCCCCUUCUCCUCCCUGCUCCCAGUGCCGGACGUGGCCCCGCUGCUGUAGAUGAGACUUCCCCGGCGCGUUUGGAAAAUGAGUUGAUGUAAUCAACUUUGUCUAUGGACGAUCAUUGGAAAAUACUGGAUGGAAACUAAUGCUGGAUCUGGAUCAGUGAUUUGGCAAUGGUCAAAUACCAGUAUUCCAAUGUACUUGUGGACAGACUUGCAUGCAGUUUUCAGUGUGGUGAAACAUGAAUGUCACAUGAAGAAAAAGGUGACCUAUGGCUUAUCUUAUACCUGCAAAAUUAACCAGUUUGCAUCCCUAAGAACUGCUUAUGUAAAAAGGCAUCUAGUUAAGAAUGAACACCAGAGAAGUGCUGUGGUAGACAUGGGCUUCAUUUCAUGUUGGCUUCCUGUUUAAAAAACAGGAGGCUGUCAAUUUU
rnacentral:lncRNA from 1 species